GCGUCAUAGAUCUAUCCCAUCGACAAGAGAGAGAGAGAGAGCCGCGUGAUCAGGAUAGAUACGGGGAUACACGGCACUAGGGAUAAUUAUUGGCCAAACGCACGUACUUGGCCUUGGACAACCC
rnacentral:ribozyme from 1 species